rnacentral:rRNA from 1 species
AGAACGACUCUCGGCAACGGAUAUCUCGGCUCUCGCAUCGAUGAAGAACGUAGCGAAAUGCGAUACUUGGUGUGAAUUGCAGAAUCCCGUGAACCAUCGAGUCUUUGAACGCAAGUUGCGCCCGAAGCCAUUAGGUUGAGGGCACGUCUGCCUGGGUGUCACGC